rnacentral:rRNA from 1 species
UUAAAUUGAAGAGUUUGAUCAUGGCUCAGAUUGAACGCUGGCGGCAGGCCUAACACAUGCAAGUCGAACGGUAACAGGAAACAGCUUGCUGAUU